rnacentral:rRNA from 1 species
UACAGAGGAGCCAAGCGUUGUCCGGAUUGACUGGGCGUAAAGCGCACGCAGGCGGAUGCGCGCGUGGGGUGUGAAAUCUGGCCGCUUAACGGCCAGGCGCCAUCCCAUACGGCGCGUCUGGAGUGAUGCAGAGGUCGAUGGAAUUGCCGGUGUAGUGGUGAAAUGCGUAGAGAUCGGCAGGAACACCCAGGGGGAAACCAGUCGACUGGGCAUCUACUGGACGCUGAGGUGCGAGAGCGUGGGGAGCGAACAGG